rnacentral:rRNA from 1 species
CCCAACAGGGAUUGCCCUAGUAACGGCGAGUGAAGCGGCAACAGCUCAAAUUUGAAAUCUGGCCCCCAGGCCCGAGUUGUAAUUUGUAGAGGAUGCUUUUGGUGACGCGCCUACCGAGUCCCCUGGAAUGGGGCGCCACAGAGGGUGAGAGCCCCGUAUGGUUUGCCGUCGAGCCUCUGUAAAGCUCCUUCGACGAGUCGAGUAGUUUGGGAAUGCUGCUCUAAAUGGGAGGUAAAUUUCUUCUAAAGCUAAAUACCGGCCAGAGACCGAUAGCGCACAAGUAGAGUGAUCGAAAGAUGAAAAGCACUUUGAAAAGAGGGUUAAACAGCACGUGAAAUUGUUGAAAGGGAAGCGCUUGUGACCAGACUCGCGCCGGGCGGAUCAUCCAGCGUUCUCGCUGGUGCACUCCGCCCGGCUCGGGCCAGCAUCGGUUUUCGCCGGGGGACAAAAGCUUCGGGAACGUGGCCCCCUUCGGGGGGUGUUAUAGCCCGUCGCAAAAUACCCCGGCGGGGACCGAGGACCGCGCUUCGGCAAGGAUGCUGGCGUAAUGGUCACCAGCGACCCGUCUUGAAACACGGACCGAGGAGUCAAGCAUUAGUGCGAGUGUUUGGGUGUAAAACCCGCACGCGUAAUGAAAGUGAACGUAGGUGAGAGCUUCGGCGCAUCAUCGACCGAUCCUGAAGUUUACGGAUGGAUUUGAGUAGGAGCAUUAACGCUUGGACCCGAAAGAUGGUGAACUAUACUUGAAUAGGGUGAAGCCAGAGGAAACUCUGGUGGAGGCUCGCAGCGGUUCUGACGUGCAAAUCGAUCGUCAAAUUUGAGUAUAGGGGCGAAAGACUAAUCGAACCAUCUAGUAGCUGGUUACCGCCGAAGUUUCCCUCAGGAUAGCAGUGUCGUCUUCAGUUUUAUGAGGUAAAGCGAAUGAUUAGGGACUCGGGGGCGAUUUUUAGCCUUCAUCCAUUCUCAAACUUUAAAUAUGUAAGAAGCCCUUGUUACUUAACUGAACGUGGGCCGUCGAAUGGACGACCUAUUG